rnacentral:rRNA from 1 species
UAGUAACGGCGAGUGAAGCGGUAACAGCUCAAAUUUGAAAUCUGGCUCCCUGCGGAGUCCGAGUUGUAAUUUGUAGAAGAUGCUUUGGGUGCUUGGCCCGGUCUAAGUUCCUUGGAACAGGACGUCGUAGAGGGUGAGAAUCCCGUAUGCGGCCGGUGUCGGCGCCCGUGUAAAGCUCUUUCGACGAGUCGAGUUGUUUGGGAAUGCAGCUCAAAAUGGGUGGUAAAUUUCAUCUAAAGCUAAAUAUGGGCCAGAGACCGAUAGCGCACAAGUAGAGUGAUCGAAAGAUGAAAAGCACUUUGGAAAGAGAGUUAAACAGUACGUGAAAUUGUUGAAAGGGAAGCGCUUGCAACCAGACUUGGGCGUCGCUGAUCAUCCAAAGACUCUCUUUGGUGCACUCGACGACGCACAGGCCAGCAUCGGUUGGAGUGGUGGGAGAAAGGUUGCCGGAACGUGGCUCUUUUCGGAGAGUGUUAUAGCCGGCGACGCAAUACCGCCUACCCCGACCGAGGACCGCGCUUCGGCUAGGAUGCUGGCGUAAUGGUUGUAAGCGACCCGUCUUGAAACACGGACCAAGGAGUCUAACAUCUAUGCGAGUGUUUGGGUGUGAAAACCCAUGCGCGGAAUGAAAGUGAACGUAGGUGAGAACCCUUCGAGGGCGNNAUCAUCGACCGAUCCUGAGUCUUCGGAUGGAUAG